UGCUAAUAUGUAUAAAUGUAAAUGUAUGAAGCUCUUUUCUUUUUAAGGACCUUUUAAGGACCUAAUAGCUAUAUGAUCAAAUAACUCUUUUCACAACAAAAAAGAAGCUGUUUAAUUGAUGCGGUAAAUAUACCCAAAUAUACGAAGGUGGUUUGAAGAAUAACUUAGUUCAGGUACUAACAGAGAACGAGAACAAUUGUAUAUAUUGUUCAUAUAUUUGGAUUCACUAUUACAUACCUGAAAAAGAAAAACUAGUGGAAUACGGUCCCGGAAUGGACAAGAAAAAGCGCAUUCGUCUGAUUUAGCUCUCUCGGAUUUCCAUUUGUUCCCGAAAUCCAAAUUUUCCUGGCUAGAAAGAGAUUUAGGUCAAAUAAAGAGGCAAUAGAGGCCACAAACGACUAUUUCGAGGAUCUCGAAGAAAUCCACUUUUGGGAAGGAAUCGGGAACGUGGAGAGACGUUGGAGGAAGUGCAUUGAGCUUCGAGGAUUAUAUUGAAAAAUGAAGUACCUUGUGAAACCGAAACUGUUAUCUUAAAUAUCAAACCAAGUUAUUCUUCAGACUAACGUCAUAUAUAUUUUAGUAUAAUUAAAGUCUAAAUUUACACCUAAAUAAAUUGUCUUGUAUGAAA